GAUGAACGCUGGCGGCGUGCCUAAUACAUGCAAGUCGAGCGAACGGACGAGAAGCUUGCUUCUCUGAUGUUAGCGGCGGACGGGUGAGUAACACGUGGAUAACCUACCUAAAAGACUGGGAUAACUUCGGGAAGCCGGAGCUAAUACCGGAUAAUAUUUUGAACCGCAUGGUUCAAAAGUGAAAGACGGUCUUGCUGUCACUUAUAGAUGGAUCCGCGCUGCAUUAGCUAGUUGGUAAGGUAACGGCUUACCAAGGCAACGAUGCAUAGCCGACCUGAGAGGGUGAUCGGCCACACUGGAACUGAGACACGGUCCAGACUCCUACGGGAGGCAGCAGUAGGGAAUCUUCCGCAAUGGGCGAAAGCCUGACGGAGCAACGCCGCGUGAGUGAUGAAGGUCUUCGGAUCGUAAAACUCUGUUAUUAGGGAAGAACAUAUGUGUAAGUAACUGUGCACAUCUUGACGGUACCUAAUCAGAAAGCCACGGCUAACUACGUG
rnacentral:rRNA from 1 species